AGUCAGCGCGCACGGGGUCUACGCGGUCGACGUCGGCGGCGGGGGGCGCGGGCCGGGGGCCGCGGGCCGGCGGGGAGGCGCGCGGCGGGAGGCCCGCCACCCACCCUCCCGAGGCCCGGGCCGCCGGGCUCCCCUCCGCCCCCCACGACCCCGCGAGGCCUCCGCCGCCCGGGCCGAUCGAGUUUCUUUGUACAAUUGGUGCAAAGAGGUUGUUCGAGUGCAGCCCCGAUUUCCAGGCAGCAGGUAUCUCUUUCAGCUGCAGCACUCCGACGCCUCUAAUGGCACGCUCAGGUUGCAGGAAACCACCGCCGCUGCUCCGUGCAGCUUCUUCCCACGCCGGGCCGGCCUCCGAGCUUGCUGCAAGCGGCGACGCGGCCGGGGGCCCCUCCGAGGAGACAAAGCUGGUGCUGGGAGGCGGGGAGCGUGGCCCGCGAAAUUGCCUCAAGACGGUGCCUUUGUUAGAGGAAACAUUGGAUGCACUCCGAGCGCCGCGAAGCCUUCCAGCCCCUACGCUUUCGGGCGUGCAGUCGUUCAGUCAGUCGCGCUGGCCCUGGUAGUUCUGCCUGGCAGGGUUUGCGUUUAUUGCAGAGAGAGACUUAAGCAUUCUGUCAACACAUAUGGCUUAGAAAGCUUCAACCAUAACAUUGCCGUUUUUACAGUUACUGCUUUAAGUAUGUUAGCAGACAGAACAUCCUUGUUUUACCCGAGGGAAUGGAAUAGAUUCUGGGCAAACCAUCGUCCACCCCCACUCUGCUGUAUUAACUAUGCACAGGGAUGGUAAUUAGCCUCUGGGUCCUUCAAGCCACUGGUUCAGUUCUUCCGUCUGUAGCCCAGAGAUAAUUAUUCAUCACCAACUUUGAAUAAAAAGCUAUAUGCCUUACAGAUGAGUUUUGGCUUGCAUCCAAGGGAAAGAGUUCACGAAGUCCACCAAAGAAUUAUUUACUAAAGUUGAGUUCUACGCCAGAGACAAAUACUUGGAAUAAUUCCAAAGAUAUUCAAAUCAUUUUGAAUUGAAGUGGAAGCAUUUUAACUACACCCAAAACUGCUAGAAUUAACUAACACGAGCGUUAGAUUCUUAGCCCGUAGAGGACAGUGGUACCAGGGUUUCAGAGCGGUCUCUGAAAAACAUUCGAUGACAGCCCCGGGAAUGGCAGAACUGGUCAUUUCAUCUUGGGAAUCUAUUUUAUACUAAUAGGGAUCUUAGCCAUUGUAUAUUUUAAAAACGGUGUAUUUGUACAGACUGUUUCAACGGACAUGAGAACGUUUUGUUUUACACCAUCUUUGGAAAAUGUUUGGAGUUUGAUCAGAGCUCAAUGGCAAGGCUAUGAUCAAAAGGUCUCUAUCCUAAAGUGUCCUGGAUGAAGCAGCCUCCAUCCAGUGAGAUCCCUGUUGACUCCUGGGAUUCCAGUACUACUGCAUCCUGUAGCUUUAGACCCUACUAAAUGUAACUGCCUAUGUAGUUUAGUAGUAGAAACCAUGCCCUGGGUUUGAUCUCCAGCACCAUGUGAGGAAAGGGAUAGUAGGAUAGAUUGAAACAAACCUAACCCCAGCCUAAAUAACAGGAAACCCCCAACUCUAGGUUAAAACUUGCCCUGGUCCUAGCCUUUUUUAAUGUAAAUUCCUGCUGGGGACUAUUGUGACUACCACUCUGACUAAAAGUCGCCAUAACUCACCUGAAAUUCUGUCAGUCGCACUUAUUCCCUCGGGGUUUAUUUCUCUAGAGCAAAGCCAUAAUCGCAGGAAAGGUAAUAUUUUAAGCCUUAACAGUAGUCAUUUAUACCUAAUUCAUCAGAUUGAUCUCUAAAGCAGCUUUUAGUGGAAGGAGAAAACGAAGAUAGCAUAUGUCGAUGCUGAGUGAAGAGAGAAUGAGCCUCACUCCUUAGACAGUACAGAGAACAGGAAUACAGGCGACAGACGGUCCCCAUUCGACUGUUACCGAAGUUCUGAUUAUGCUGGAGAAUGAGCCCCAAGAAUGGUGCAUGUUUUACUAUGUCCUGUACAGCUGAGGCAGAGCUAUAAUAACAUUGCUCAUAAUUUUAAGGAAAAUGUUCUACUAGUUCAUGUGUUUGAAGUCGGGAUCCACUUUGCCUAUUUGGACAAAUGUUUCUUUAAUAAACCCUUAUGAAGUGUUUCCCAGACGUUCUGUAUCUGUGAAAUGGCUGCUCCGUUUAUGAUCAGGUAUUCAGUAAUGACAAAUGACCAGUCUCUGUUACUCAGCACUGUUUAGUUCUAACAUGAACAGAACACACAGAAACAGCCAAGUCUUCUAUCUGGGCUUUCUCAUAAACGCUCUUGUUCUGUGCUUUAGCUUAGUUUUCAUUGAAAAUCCUCUCACAGGACCUUGAACUAAAGAAGGGCUGGCUGAGCUUUUCAUUUAUGAUUAAACAGAGAACUAAAACUUCACCCUUAGCAAGGGUGCCUUGCUGUGGCUCUGUAGUGGCAAACUGGCCUCUAGGACCACCUUCAAGGGUGACCUGUUGAUAGCAGUUCAGCUUCCCCAAUUUCACUCUCAGAGAAACACAGGGAGACAUUCUUUGUGAUCCCCCUUCGCACCCAGGGCUGAGGAGGAGAACACUAGUGGAGAGAAGCCACUUCAUUAAAAUACCAUUUGCGAGGUCUCUAGCAUUCCAAAGAAUGCUUAUACAGCCCACCAGAAAAAUGGGCCAGAGAGAGGGCACUGGCACUGGUAUCUGUACAUUUGCUUGAUUUGUUAAAAGACCUUCUGCCAUGGUGCCACAUCAGCCAGCAUUUAUAAUGCACAAGCACUGGAGAAGCGACACUGGGCAGAGUGCAAGGAGAAGCCUUGCACUGCUUUUCUCAGCCUUUGACACAGAAUUAGCCAUCUAAAGCCAAAGCUUUCUGUAUUACAUACCUGUGUGAGUGUGUGUGUGUGUGUGUGUGUGUGUGUGUGUG
rnacentral:lncRNA from 1 species